AAAUAUUGCUAAAAUGCAUUCAGUUGCUCAGAAAGUUAGACUCGCCUAAUUAGGAACAAUCAUGCUGUAACAGAAGAGGCCUUUGGCAUCUAAACAAGUGUGAUGCC